GUUGGUGGUUAAACCUAAAUUUAUGAUUCUGUCAUUUAAUCGGGGUCAGAUCGAUAGUCGUCUAACUUUGUUUUUACUCGCCGAAACAAUACAUAUAGGCUAUAAAAAGAAAUAGACAAGCACGAAUGGGAAAGUGGACCAACCUUUUAACCAAACGACAUUUUGACUAUCGUCUUUCUUCGUUUGCAAAACUAGUUAAAUGUUUAACACUUUAACUUAUUUGAAUUAAAAGUUCUAACCAACCUAUUUAAUGCGACAUGUGAAUACUACAGUAUGUGAUGGCAACGGCAAUAUCGUAUAAAUCUUCGCUGUUUAUAUAAUUCUCUAAUUAUGUUUAAAACAUCGAACUAUUAUAUAAUACAGAGUGUUAGAACCUUGGGAGACACUACCUCACAUGAUUAUAUUUUAUGACUAUCUGUUUGUGUUUCCUUUUGACGUAAGAAAAUAAUCUAUGUUUCUUAUUUUGAUGAGUGUAUGUCUAAUACUCUCAUCAACUUUGAAUAUAUCGGUACUGGUAAAAACUAAACAGUUAUUACAGACUCACAGUAAGCUUUGAUUAACGAAAAGUGAUACUAAACCUAACUAAAGAAACACAAAAGACGAUCCAGUCUGUGUCAACGAAUCACAUGCAACCAACUUUAUGGUCCAUCACCCAGAAGUUAGUACAACGUAAUAAAUCAUUUUAUGUGCCUUAAAGAAACAUUCAAAUAUAAAUAAAUGAAAAGUUUACAAAUGAACGAACCACAUAAACCAAUCUCUAAAACCCUUUAUGUUCACAUCAGUGGACUAUCCAAGAUCCAGUCGCAUGCAACACCAAUGGGAUAAAAUAAAAAAAAAUUCAUUAUGUACUUGAGUCUCAAGUCAUUUAGUUUUCUUGUCAUUCUCCUAACAAAUCAAAUCUACAUUUAUGUAAAUGAAAGAGAGCAAAAGAAAAGGAGGAGAUAAGGAUAAAGAAGAAGGGGACAGAGAGGGAGAUGGGUAACUAAAGAAGAGAUCUGGCCUGAAUCUAUUAAAGACUUGUGUCCCAGUCUACAUACUCACAUGCAAAUGUUCUUUUCUGCAUAUAUUAAAUAUAAUCCUCCCAAACAGUAGUAAUUAUAGUAUAUAUCAUAACAUGGGUCUCUCUUAUCAUAUGAAGGAUUCAUAUCAUGUUGAUAGUAUAUAAUAUCUUGUUUUAGAAGUCCCAAGUUUCAUUUCCCAACUUCGAUCUUCUCAGAAGGUCAAAACUCAUGUAGUCAAAUGUAUGCGGGAAUCUUUCACUUCUCCACUCGCAGGCAUCAUCAUGCAACAGACUGAAGAUCACAAGCAUAUUAACGCAAGAAAGUAGACAAACUAAACAGCACAUAUGAACUUCUUCCUGAAGAUAUGGAUCAAAAGAGACUUACAAGAGCCAGCAUCUCCUUAAGAUAGCCACGGAAUGGGGUCUGCACCGCCUGUAUAUAGUAUAAAAACACUCAAAGUUACAAGUUGCAAAAAUUCUAAAGUUACAUUACAUGAUAGCUCACUCAAAACAUCAGUAACACAAUAGUAUAACAAUGUAAUCACCAUUUCACUUUAUGGAUAUGAAAAAAUCAAUGCAAUACCCUUUUAAUUC